AGCAGCUGCGGUAAUACGUAGGUGGCAAGCGUUGUCCGGAUUUAUUGGGCGUAAAGCGAGCGCAGGCGGAAUGAUAAGUCUGAUGUGAAAGCCCACGGCUCAACCGUGGAACUGCAUCGGAAACUGUCAUUCUUGAGUGCAGAAGAGGAGAGUGGAACUCCAUGUGUAGCGGUGGAAUGCGUAGAUAUAUGGAAGAACACCAGUGGCGAAGGCGGCUCUCUGGUCUGCAACUGACGCUGAGGCUCGAAAGCAUGGGUAGCGA
rnacentral:rRNA from 1 species